GACACCUGCAGCUCUGUGCCCCCGGGGUUCGUCUGAGUGCUCACCUACUGUGAGGUGGGCUGUUCUCGUCUGCCCUCGCUGCCCGUUGUAGAAGUACAGGUGGAAAACGUGCUCCAUCUUCCAGUCGGACAGGAGCAGCCUGUUGGUGCUGAAGAGGACGCCGUGCAUCCCGUUGAUGCUGCACAGCCAGAUAGGAAAUUUAGGGGUUUUCAGCACGCUUCCAACCUGGGGGUGGAACGGGCAGCUCAGGUGGUGCCCGGCCUCCUCCCGGCUCCAGCGCAGGAAGCCCACCUCGCAGCGGUGGCUGGGGCACGCGCUGCCCGCCAGGACGACCUGGAGCAGUGCCUGCAGGCGAGGGCCCCGCUCAGCAGCAGCGCGAGGGGAGGCACUGGGUGCCCAGCCCCGGGCCCUGGCCCCACACAGCACGGGGCAGCUGCAGGACCCUGCCUUCCCAACGGCCUUCGCACGGCACGGCCAGCAGCUCAUGGAUAACAUUUACAGCAAGUGUCGCCUCACAAUUUUUUUAGGUGAUUAACAGGUGGGGGUGUUUUCCAAAAUCAGACAUAGGAGGAAUAAUAAUGACAGAAACACUUGGCAAGUGAGGCUGGUCCUACCUGUGUGCAGAUGACGUUUCCACAACUGGACUCUAACAGGUGAGGUGUCGUGCCACCUAAAUCGUUUUGGACCCUGUGCAACCAGACACAAAAUAUCACUGUAAUGUCCAGGUCAGUGACUGGAGCGUCAUACAUCAUGUCUGACUAAUACGGAGAACAGAAAGAAAUUUCACAGAAUCAUUUCCUUUUCUUUUUUUGAGCACAGCAGUAGUGUCCCACUACAGGAAUUUUAUGCUCCUCCUGAGCUCUCGCAUUUCAGGCCUAUGUCUGUUAACAUUCAGAGCUAGGGUUGGCUUCCAACCUUCUGCAGAAUGGAACAGAGAUUUCAGGCAGUGCCUCAGCUACCCCCAAGUUUAACCUGAAUAUAACUAUCUGAAGCAGCACUGCAAUUUUUUGCUAAAUAGCCAUCGGUGUCACGUUAGUAUAAAUCCCUGGUGCAGUGAUGCCUCUGUAUCUGUAGCAUCUUUACACAAAUGCAGUUACAUUGCCUGUAGGAAGACUGUAUCAGCCUCCUCUGCUAACAAAGUUAUGCUGGUGUAUUUUUCCUGUGUUUAAGUAAGCUUUUUGUGAUUUUCAUGUGUAAGUUUAAUCAGCUGUAGCUAUGGUUAUGGCUACCAGUAGAAUAACCCCUGAUUUGGUACAGUGCUACUGUUCUUCCUGUGUGUGCAGCCAGGCACAUCGCCUCUCUGCUGCUCCCUCCUGCCUGCUCCUGCACGUGUAGGCACGAGAAGGACACACGUUAAUGUACAACAUCAGCCUCUUUUUCAUCAAAACUCAGCCAGUAGCUCUACAUUCCUCUGACUGUUGCUUCUUCUCAUUAGUAUAAGAGUGAGCAUGUAACUAAAAUAAGAAAAAGAGUAUUUCAUAAAAUGUAACUAAACUAGAAGAAAAUUUAAAAAAUUAAACAUACCUUUCCAGUGUCCUUGAGAAAAGUAAACUGUACAAAAACAGGAUCAGUCCCUUACUUCCUUCACUUUUAAACUGGAAAAAGAAAAAAGUAAUCACAGGGAAGGAACUAUGGCACAUAUGUGAUGCUUAAUUAAAACAAUUCCUCUGCUUAAAUCAACCCUAGAUAAAUAUAAUGAGCCAAAUGAACAAGGUAUUAUUCUGGGAAGACUUUGGCUUUGCUACUAGUUCUGUUGAAUAGGACCAAGUGAAAAGAAAAAAAAAAAAAGUCCAGUUCUGGACUAACCUAUUUUUGUACAUGUUUUUUAAAUGUUACCCCUGUUUGCCUGGCAUCUGUGGUGAGGUUCCAGUGACUGCAGUGGCAGUGGGAUCAUUUCCCUGUAGUAAAAAAAAA